UACGAAGGGGGCUAGCGUUGUUCGGAAUUACUGGGCGUAAAGCGCGCGCAGGCGGUUCUUCAAGUCAGAGGUGAAAGCCCAGAGCUCAACUCUGGAAUGGCCUUUGAGACUAGAGAACUAGGGUACGGGAGAGGUGAGUGGAAUUCCGAGUGUAGAGGUGAAAUUCGUAGAUAUCAGGAAGAACACCAAUGGCGAAGGCAGCUCUCUGGGACGGUACUGACGCUGAGACGCGAAAGCGUGGGGAGCGAACAGG
rnacentral:rRNA from 1 species